AUUGAACGCUGGCGGAAUGCUUUACACAUGCAAGUCGAACGGUAGAGGGGGCAACCCCUCGAGAGUGGCGAACGGGUGAGUAAUAUAUCGGAACGUGCCCAGUCGUGGGGGAUAACGUAGCGAAAGUUACGCUAAUACCGCAUACGAUCUAAGGAUGAAAGCGGGGGAUCGCAAGACCUCGCGCGAUUGGAGCGGCCGAUAUCAGAUUAGGUAGUUGGUGGGGUAAAGGCUCACCAAGCCAACGGUCUGUAGCUGGUCGGAGAGGACGACCAGCCACACUGGAACUGAGACACGGUCCAGACUCCUACGGGAGGCAGCAGUGGGGAAUUUUGGACAAUGGACGAAAGUCUGAUCCAGCCAUUCCGCGUGCAGGAUGAAGGCCCUCGGGUUGUAAACUGCUUUUGUACGGAACGAAAAGGUCUCUCUUAAUACGGGGGGCUCAUGACGGUACCGUAAGAAUAAGCACCGGCUAACUAGGUGCCAGCAGCCGCCGUAA
rnacentral:rRNA from 1 species